GGAGAGAUGCCAGAGUGGUCGAAUGGGCUCGCUUGGAAGGCGAGUAUAGGGGUAACUCUAUCGGGGGUUCGAAUCCCCCUCUCUCCGCCA
rnacentral:tRNA from 1 species